UUUCACAAAGAUUUCUCUCUGAUGUUUUGUGCCAUUUUAGGAGUCAUUAUGUGAUUGCAAUUGAUUUGGAUCCAAAGAAACUUGAUUUAGCGAAGCAUAAUGCUGCCGUAUAUGGCGUUGCUGAUAAAAUCGACUUUGUGAAGGGAGACUUCUUUGACUUGGCUCAUAACUUGAAGGCAGGCACUGUGUUCCUAUCGCCUCCAUGGGGAGGCCCUGAUUAUCUUAAAGCGAGUACGUAUGAC